rnacentral:rRNA from 1 species
GAUGAACGCUGGCGGCGUGCCUAAUACAUGCAAGUCGAGCGAACAGACGAGGAGCUUGCUCCUCUGACGUUAGCGGCGGACGGGUGAGUAACACGUGGAUAACCUACCUAUAAGACUGGGAUAACUUCGGGAAACCGGAGCUAAUACCGGAUAAUAUAUUGAACCGCAUGGUUCAAUAGUGAAAGACGGUUUUGCUGUCACUUAUAGAUGGAUCCGCGUCGCAUUAGCUAGUUGGUAAGGUAACGGCUUACCAAGGCAACGAUGCGUAGCCGACCUGAGAGGGGGAUCGGCCACACUGGAACUGGGACACGGUCCAGACUCCUACGGGAGGCAGCAGUAGGGAAUCUUCCGCAAUGGGCGAAAGCCUGACGGAGCAACGCCGCGUGAGUGAUGAAGGUCUUCGGAUCGUAAAACUCUGUUAUUAGGGAAGAACAAAUGUGUAAGUAACUAUGCACGUCUUGACGGUACCUAAUCAGAAAGCCACGGCUAACUACGUG